AUUGAACGCUGGCGGCAGGCCUAACACAUGCAAGUCGAGCGAGCGGCGGACGGGUGAGUAAUGUCUUGUAAACUGCCUGAUGGAGGGGGAUAACUACUGUAAACUGUAGCUAAUACCGCAUACCAUCAUAUUUGCCCAUAUGGGAUUAGCUAGUAGGUGGGGUAACGGCUCACCUAGGCGACGAGCCCUAGCUGGGCUGAGAGGAUGACCAGCCACACGGGCACUGAGACACGGUCCAGACUACUACGGGAGUCAGCAGUGGGGAAUAUUGCACAAUGGGCGCAAGCCUGAUGCAGCCAUGCCGCGUGUAUGAAGAAGGCCUUCGGGUUGUAAAGUACUUUCAGCGGGGAGGCGUUACCCGCAGAAGAAGCACCGGCUAACUCCGUGCCAGCAGCCGCGGUAAUUC
rnacentral:rRNA from 1 species